GUAACAAGGUCUCCGUUGGUGAACCAGCGGAGGGAUCAUUAUAGAGUUUACAAACUCCAAACCCCUGUGAACAUACCUAUCGUUGCCUCGGCAGGUCGUGGCCUACCUGGUAAAACCUCCCCUGACCGGGCGGUGCUACCCGGGAGUCCGCGGUGAAGCCUGCCGGCGGCCCACGAAACUCUGUUAUUAUUGAAUCUCUGAAUCUUAACUAAAUAAGUUAAAACUUUCAACAACGGAUCUCUUGGUUCUGGCAUCGAUGAAGAACGCAGCGAAAUGCGAUAAGUAAUGUGAAUUGCAGAAUUCAGUGAAUCAUCGAAUCUUUGAACGCACAUUGCGCCCAUUAGUAUUCUAGUGGGCAUGCCUGUUCGAGCGUCAUUUCAACCCUUAAGCCCCUGUUGCUUAGUGUUGGGAGCCUACGUUUUGGCGUAGCUCCUCAAAGUUAGUGGCAGAGUCAGUUCAUACUCUAGGCGUAGUAAUUUUUAUCUCGCUUUUGUAGUUGGGCUGGCCCUCGCCGUAAAACCCCCUAAUUUUUAAAAGGUUGACCUCGGAUCAGGUAGGAAUACCCGCUGAACUUAAGC
rnacentral:rRNA from 1 species